GACGAACGCUGGCGGCGUGCCUAACACAUGCAAGUCGAGCGGGGAUAUACGGAAGGUUUACCGGAAGUAUAUCCUAGCGGCGGACGGGUGAGUAACGCGUGGGGUAACCUACCUCAUACAGGGGGAUAACACAGGGAAACCUGUGCUAAUACCGCAUAACAUAACGGGGCGGCAUCGUCCUGUUAUCAAAGGAGAAAUCCGGUAUGAGAUGGGCCCGCGUCCGAUUAGCUAGUUGGUGAGGUAACGGCUCACCAAGGCGACGAUCGGUAGCCGAACUGAGAGGUUGGUCGGCCACAUUGGGACUGAGACACGGCCCAGACUCCUACGGGAGGCAGCAGUGGGGAAUAUUGCGCAAUGGGGGAAACCCUGACGCAGCAACGCCGCGUGAAGGAAGAAGGCCCUCGGGUUGUAAACUUCUUUGAUUGGGGACGAAGGAAGUGACGGUACCAAAGAAACAAGCCACGGCUAACUACGUAGC
rnacentral:rRNA from 1 species